AGAGUUUGAUCCUGGCUCAGAACGAACGCUGGCGGCGUGCCUAACACAUGCAAGUCGAGCGCGAACUCCCCUUCGGGGGUUAGUAGAGCGGCGCACGGGUGAGUAACACGUGGCUAACCUACCCUUUAGUCUGGGAUAACCCGGGGAAACUCGAGCUAAUACCGGAUACGUUCCACGGAGGAAAGUGGGGGCUCUCUUCGGAGACCUCACGCUGAAGGAUGGGGCCGCGGUCCAUCAGGUAGUUGGUGGGGUAAUGGCCUACCAAGCCGAAGACGGAUAGCUGGUCUGAGAGGAUGAUCAGCCACACUGGAACUGAGACACGGUCCAGACUCCUACGGGAGGCAGCAGUGGGGAAUCUUGCGCAAUGGGGGAAACCCUGACGCAGCAACGCCGUGUGUGCGAUGAAGGCCCUCGGGUCGUAAAGCACUGUCAGUGGGGAAGAUGGUGUCUCUUCUUAAUAUGGGGAGGCGCUGACGGUACCCACGGAGGAAGCACCGGCUAACUCUGUGCCAGCAGCCGCGGUAAUACAGAGGGUGCAAGCGUUGUUCGGAAUUAUUGGGCGUAAAGCGCGCGUAGGCGGCCAUUCAAGUCGGAUGUGAAAGCCCGGA
rnacentral:rRNA from 1 species